GGGGGGGGAGAGGGAGGGAGGAGGCAAAUUGCAACGGAUGAAUUCAUGCUUGAAGGAUUUUGAAAGCGCGAGAGUAACUGAGUUAUGCAUAGAUAAGAUGAAGAAGAUAUUGCAAAAUGCAUUUCUUGUGAUUUACUGAUUAAACAGAAUCCCACAUUUCCUUUUCUCAAAUUUUUUUGGAAUUUUCUCCUUAAUUUUGUAUGGGAAAGGAAACCAUAUUCCUGUUGAGCAAGGUCUGCAGUGCUCCAUAGACCAUCAAAUAUAUGUUCUUCAUGAUGAGCUUUGGAGAUUAAGCGUAGCCCACCACACUUAAUCUUCACUGUCCAUCAAUAGGGUUGGAUGGUAGAUCCUCCUAUGGAGCAUGUAUUAUAAAUUCCAUUGGAUUGCAGUUAGUUUUUCCCAUUCCCUGCUACUGUGGUUAAUUAUCCAUUUUUUAUUUUUUUCAAUUUUCAUUGAAAUUUUGUAGUUGUUCACAGGAGAAGAUUUUAAGAAACAAAACAUGGUACGAGGCCAAUUUGCCAAAUCAGGUCUAUAGGAGGUGUAUCGUGUCGACAAUUCAGAUUUAGAAGUCAACCUAUUGACUGCCAAAAAAUGUUCUGGGAUCCCCUCCUUAGCUUGGGCAUCUGCCUCAAAGCUAGGUUUUUUUGUAUGUACGCGUAAACUCGAUGUCUUUUAGGCCAUUAGUUUCAUAAAAAACAAGGAUCAGGUGUCUCUGCUCACCUGUGCACCGUCUAGUUACAUUGAGCUUUUCACACUAGUAAACAUAGUGUUUUAUUCCUUAAAACAUUGGCAUAGUGUUAAAGGUGCUGCUCUCUAGGUUAAAGACUCUCGCCUUUCUCUCUCUCAUACUACAAUCGGCAUAUGUUCUGAUGGGAGUUACAAUAUGCAACCACUUGAUAACAACCCCCCAUUCUUCUCACUUCACAAAUAUUCAUAUUCUUGCUAUCUUUGCAGUAUUCCUGUCUCUCCAUCAUGCACGUGUACACAAUCAAAUAGCGCAAAACAAGUCAAGGUUAUGCAUAAAAUAAAAGAAAAAGUAGAUUCCGGUGCUCAAAGGAACCAAUAAGGAGUUAAAAGGGUUACUUCUAACUUCAACCAUGAAUUUUUAUUUUUUUUUGGGGUGGCUGGGCCCCCUAACCAAGGAAAAAGUUCAAUUCUCUACAAUAACAAUGACAUGGAAUAAAUUUGAGAAACAUUCAGCAUUCCACUCUUCCUCUAUAAAAAGAAGUUCCAGCAUCUUCCAAUCCUUUUCUCUCUCUUGAGUGUUCUUAGAACUAUUCUUCUUUAUGGCAUCUUUAUCUCUUGCAAAGCAUUGCAAUUUGCAAGUAAUGUGCCAUAGCUUUUGUACCUUCUUUCCCACAAACAACAUAGGGCCAAUAAUACACAACCCCAACAAAGAGUUUAAGCUGCUUACAACGAAAGGCAAAAUAACCUUUUGCACCCUCCUUUCCUCUGUCAUAAAACCCUCAUCUCUCUUCCUCUUUCUACAUAGAAAUUCAGCCAUGAAGAUUCCAAAUCUUGCCAUGGCCUAUGAAGCCAUGAAAACCCAUUUGAGAACCAUCACUAAAUUUCAUUUGAAGCUCUCUUAUGCCAUAGCUCCCUUCAUACUUCUUUACACUCUCUCUCAUCCUCAAGUUCAAAGCCUUCUCAUCUACUUCUCCCCUCUAGUGUUAUCAACAGGGCUUUGUUUCAUCAUUGCCUUCUUUCAAUUGUGGUUGCAUCAAGCUCAAGUAGAGAGAGAAACUCUCAACAAGCCAAAUUGUGGAGAGAGAGAACCACCAAGUGAGGCAGACAGUGUAUGGCAGCACUAUUUUGAUGGGUGCACCAACUGGCACCACACCAUGGUUGUGAAUGAAGAAAUCGCUCAAUGAGGGACAGGUUGUUUUUUCUUAUGCUGGUCCGUAGGCUCUGCUAUGGCCAAUCAUGCGGAAUUUGCCUCAUUGCGACAAGGUCUUAAGCUCUUUAUCUCCAAAGGCAUUGGCAAUAGUUGUAUUUGUGAAGGUGAUUCGCUUAAUGUUAUUGGCUAGUGUAAGAAGGAAUAGUGUAUUCUCUGGAAGCUCGAGUCUAUCUGGUUGGAGAUUAUAGACAUUUCAGUCCCCUUAGCUUUCUCUUUCUCUCAUAUUUAUAGGAAAGCUAAUGCUUUAGCUGAUUCUCUAACCAAUGGUGGGGUUUCCCUGCCUGUUCUUUUGUUUUUCUUUGAUGUAAUAUCUUUUUAGUAGUUUCUCAUUAAUAAAAAUUGGAACCUUUGUCAAAAAAAAGAAAAGAAAGAAAUGAUAUCAAAUAAAUGGCCCUAGCAUGGUUUUUUAA